GGAAGUGGUAGCUCAGUGGUUAAAACGUUGGACUUCUGAUGGGAAGGUUGUGAGUUCAAGCCUCGGCACCUCUG